CCGGUGACCGCAGACCAUGUUACAUAUCUAACCAACAUAGAGUUGGCCGAAGCAAUCCGGUUAUACCAGGAACAACGAGCCGAGAACCUCAAAGGACCCAGGUUGAUUCCUGAUUCUGAAGACUUUGAAAAUUCCCGCCAAUCCCGGGGUUCCGUCUUUGACCGGAUUGGUGACAAAGUAAGGAAAAAGAAGCAGAGAGAAAGUGAUGCCACAAGGCGAAAGAUCCUGGCCAAAAAAAAAGAACACAUCCGGAGAGAAGAAGAAGAAAAGCUAGAGCAAAAAAUUCAAAGAAGGAUCCAGUUAUAAGAAGAAAGGCUCAUGAGCAAGUCCCGCUCCAAACGAUCUAGGA
rnacentral:lncRNA from 1 species